rnacentral:rRNA from 1 species
UACGUAGGGUGCAAGCGUUGUCCGGAAUUAUUGGGCGUAAAGAGCUCGUAGGCGGUCUGUCGCGUCGGCUGUGAAAACCUGGGGCUCAACUCCGGGCCUGCAGCCGAUACGGGCAGACUAGAAUUCGGUAGGGGAGACUGGAAUUCCUGGUGUAGCGGUGAAAUGCGCAGAUAUCAGGAGGAACACCGGUGGCGAAGGCGGGUCUCUGGGCCGAUACUGACGCUGAGAAGCGAAAGCAUGGGGAGCGAACAGG